UGAGCGGGCGAGCGGGCGAGCGGCGGAGUAGCAGCGCGCAGCGCCGGGCGCAGGCAGCAGCUGGUGUUCGCUGUAACAAACAACUUGCCACUCAAACCCCGGGCAGCUGCGCAUGCGCCUCCACGCAAGGCCUGCUGGGACUUGUAGUCCAGGCGCUGCCCGGGGCGCCGCGGGCUGCUGGAGUCGAGGGGGAAGGGGCUGAGUAGCUGCGGCUCAGGAGUGGAAAUGCUGCGGCGAGGGGCUCUGCAGGCCCGUCGAGGAGUCCAAAGGCAUUUGGAGUCAGUCCGAGCCUGGGUGCAUGCUCUUGUUAUUUAUUUUCGCUCCAGGCAAAGCGAUUUGGCGGGAGAGGGUUGGGACUCCAAGACAACUCCAUCGCUGGAGGAGGCCCCAACCUGGGAGAAGAGAGGUUUAGAGAAAUCAGUAGAGCUCAGAGAAGCGAAACCGAAAGGGGGUGUUGGGGACAAGGAGGAGGGAUCCAAGAGGGAGAGUGCAUCCAGGCUGGGUUCUGAAGGAUGAACCGGAGCUCGCGGGCAGGGGGAGGGGCGAGUGUACCGAGGGCCGCGGCCUUCCAGGAAGAAGGGACAGCGCGUCCUAAGGCACAGGAGCGUGAAAGCCCCCACGGUGCUGUGUUUGGCUUUGUUGCAGCGGAAAAAAGCGAGGGAGGAGAGACAGGAGAUAAGGCUGGCGCGGGAUCGAACUCGGGACCUUGUGGUUGCGAGGCAGGCGGCGGAACCACUGAGUCUGGGCCGUAGCAACUGGCACAUGAGAGACACUCAUUCAAUAUUUUGGGCGUGCAUAAAUGCAUCAUCUAUGCCUUUUAGAGCUAUAGAUCCACAAGUCCCAAAUAGAACACAUUUGGGGCCCAGAAGGGAGCACACAGAUGCAUCGAGCAGGCCAGAAUGGCAUCAGAGAAGAGCAGCCUGCCUGAAGGCACAACUUUUAAUUUCUACCCAAACAACCAACAGGUGAUGAAACAAAAUAAACAAGACUAAAGGCAGGAUUUGACUGGUUUUCUGACUUCUGCUCUGGAUGGCUCAAGUCUCUCUUUUUCAAUCUUCGGGCCAUGACCAUGAGCGAAUGGUGAAAUCAGUCUAGCAGGGUACAGGUACAACUAGCAUUAAAAGAAAGAAGAAAGAAGAACGGUCCCCAGCACUGCACAUAGUGAGCACAUUUUAUGAUGAUCUCUUUUGUCUCGGGAAGCAUCAGUUUUGGCUGUGUGGGUACGUGGUGUGUGCAUGCAGUCAUACAAGUAUGUGUCUGUGUGCCUGUGUGUGCAGGAUCUUCACAGAAACCUGUUUUUUUUUUUUAGUUCUUUUAUU